UACUUAUAAUUGAAAUUUUCACUCUUCAAAAUUAUUUAAAAAAAUCAAAAUUUAUUUUUCCUCUUUCACUGCCUUAAAUUGGGCUUAAUCGGGCGACCGCAAUUGGGCCCAAUGGGGCUGGACCAGUUAUAGUCAGGUAUUAGCCCUUCACUUCUUCUGGAUGAGCUUUCCGACCGCUGGAACUUUCCGUUGCAGAAGCACCACGGCGGAUUUCUCCGUCGUCUCCGACCGUUCUGGGACGAAUCUCGAUCUGUUAACGGCGACGCUUCUCUUCACAGCUAACAGAUCAUAUUACUUUCCCGUGCGAUUACGAGGUGAUGAUCCGCAGACCUUCGACAUGCUUGUUGAACGUCCGCGUCGCUUCCCUAUGUAAAGCUCGGAACUUGGAAAAGGCCGAGGCCGUCAUCACAGAUGGUAUCGCCGGCUAGAGAGGAAAUGUUGUUAUACAUCACGACACAAAUCCUCGCGUGAAGCAAAUUUAUUCUAAAGCCAUAGCCAGCGUACAACUAAACGUCCACAAAGAUAGAAUGAAGAGCAUUUUGAAUGCACAUUGUUCUGUUGGCAUCCACAGC